UACAUAGGUGGCAAGCGUUGUCCGGAAUUACUGGGUGUAAAGGGAGCGUAGGCGGGAGGAUAAGUUGGACGUAUAAACUAUCGGCUCAACCGGUAGAGGCGUUCAAAACUGUCCUUCUUGAGUGAAGUAGAGGUAAGCGGAAUUCCUAGUGUAGCGGUGAAAUGCGUAAAUAUUAGGAGGAACACCAGUGGCGAAGGCGGCUUACUGGGCUUUAACUGACGCUGAGGCUCGAAAGCGUGGGUAGCAAACAGG
rnacentral:rRNA from 1 species